CUUAGAUUCCAUCUCCCUGAAACAGGAGGGUUAAGUGAACAACUGUAAAGUGCAGACCAGCAUGCCUGGCACAUGUGCUCUUCCUCUUUUAAAGCUGAGAAGCCAGGGAACAAACGUGUAAUCUCCUACAAUGAAGAGAACAAUUUUUAAGACAGGAAACUGAGAAAAACAGUUUUUCAUCUCUGCCUAAUUACUAAACUAAGUCUGAGACAUAGAGGAUAAUUUUAUCUUAAUAAAAAAAGAAGAAGAAGAAAAAUCACAGUA